CGCAGGCGCUGUUACCGGCAUCCGCCAUCUUUGUUAUUUCGGGUUGAGUUUACGAGGAAACAAUCUCCAAUAGCCAUCAUGUCGAUCGCAAGGCCUCAGAUGCGUGGUUUGCUGAAAUCUAAAAUCAAGCGUGAUCUCACGAUUGCACUUAUUGCUGGGCUUGCUGCUGCUGCCUGUGUGAAAUUUGGAUAUGCAGAAAGAAAAAAGCAGACAUACGCAAAUUUUUACAGAGAUUAUGAUGACAGGAAAGCGUUUGAGCACAUGAACUCAAUGGGUGUGUUCCAUGCAACCAGACCCAAAAAGGAUGACUGAUGGAAUUUCCUCGCUCCAAUAUCUGCACUAGUCAGCCCAAGACGUUUUACUGUGUGCUAUUAUUUGUAACUUGAAACUUUUAUUAUGGUUCAUCUGAAACAAUUAACAUAACAAACUGAGUCAUGUCCUUUGAUUAUUUGUUGUCUGUAUUUACUUUCAGACUAGUUGUGAAUAAAUCCAAAAGUUAAUUUUAAACACAA